rnacentral:rRNA from 1 species
GACGAACGCUGGCGGCGCGCUUAACACAUGCAAGUCGAACGGAAAGGCCUGCUUUCCCUUGUGGAUUGCGGGUACUCGAGUGGCGAACGGGUGAGUAACACGUGAGUGAUCUGCCCCCAACUUGGGUAUAAGCCUGGGAAACUGGGUCUAAUUCCCGAUAGGACUGCAGGGUGGUGCCUGUUGUGGAAAACGAUUUUCUAGUGGUUGGGGAUGAGCUCGCGGCCUAUCAGCUUGUUGGUGGGGUAAUGGCCUACCAAGGCGGCGACGGGUAGCCGGCCUGGGAGGGUGGACGGCCACAUUGGGACUGAGAUACGGCCCAGACUCCUACGGGAGGCAGCAGUGGGGAAUAUUGCACAAUGGGCGGAAGCCUGAUGCAGCGACGCCGCGUGGGGGAUGACGGCCUUCGGGUUGUAAACUCCUUUCGACCGCGAGGAAGCCACCUGGUUGGAAGGGUGGUGACGGUAGUGGUAGAAGAAGCACCGGCUAACUACGUG